AAUAGAUACCCAGGUAGUCCACGCCGUAAACGAUGGAUACUAGCUGUUUGAGCGCAAGUUUGAGUGGCUAAGCGAAAGUGAUAAGUAUCCCACCUGGGGAGUACGGGCGCAAGCCUGAAACUCAAAGGAAUUGACGGGGGCCCGCACAAGCGGUGGAGCAUGUGGUUUAAUUCGAUGAUACGCGAGGAACCUUACCAGGGCUUAAAUGUAGAUUGACGUAUUUGGAAACAGAUAUUUCUUCGGACAAUUUACAAGGUGCUGCAUGGUUGUCGUCAGCUCGUGCCGUGAGGUGUCAGGUUAAGUCCUAUAACGAGCGCAACCCCUGUUGUUAGUUGCCAGCGAGUAAUGUCGGGAACUCUAGCAAGACUGCCAGUGUAAACUGUGAGGAAGGUGGGGAUGACGUCAAAUCAUCACGGCCCUUACGUCCUGGGCCACACACGUGCUACAAUGGCCGGUACAGAGAGCAGCCACUUAGCGAUAAGGAGCGAAUCUAUAAAGCCGGUCACAGUUCGGAUCGGAGU
rnacentral:rRNA from 1 species